GAGCUGCCUCCAGCUCUGGGGUCCCAAAACAGGAAGGAUGUGGACUUGUUACUCCUGGGUUCAGAGUGGAGCCACAGAAAUAAUCAGAGGGCAGAAACACUUCUCCUGUUAGGAGAGACUGAGGGAGCUGGGAUUGUUCAGCUUGGAGGAUACUUGUGGCAGAUUUUAUUGUACCCUUCCAAUAAUUAAAGUGGGCUUAUAAGAAAGAUGGAGAUACACUUUGUACCAAGGCCUGUAGUGAAAGUACAAUGAUUUUAAAUUAAAAGAGGUUACAUUUAGAUUUGAUUUAAAGAAGAAUUUUUUACAAGGAGGAUAGUGAGACACUGGAAAAAGUUUACUCAGGAAGUUGUUGAUGCCACAACACUGGAGGUAUUCAAGUUCAAGUGUGGAUGAAGAAACCUGAUCUAGUAACAUACGUUCUCGCCCAUGACAGUGCAAGAAUAAAUCUCAGAAAGUCCAGAAGGUGGAAUCUGACCACGUAGUUUGAUGCCAUGGGUGGUUUCACAGAAGCAUGUCACAUCCUCUACUAUAAUUAAGUCUGUAAAGGUGAAUACAUGAGAUGCUUGUCUGAUCAGCCCUUCCACACAUAUAAUAUUGGGAUUUUCCAAGAAAGAAGAUGAAGACAGAUUGAUUCAAAGAUGAUCCAGUGAAAACAUUCCUGCAAAGGCCUUUCUAUAUCUUCCUAAGUGACAUGGAAGUUGGGAUCAAGUAUAAACUUACCAAGUUUGCCAAUGAUACCAAACUGAGUGGUGAAGUGGGCACUUUGGCAGGGGGAGCCACCCUGCAAGAAGACCUGGAUAGGCUGAAAGAGUGGGCUAACUAGACAAGUGUGAAAUAUUGCACCUGGAAAAAUAUAAUCCAGGAGUGCAGGACAAGCUAGGAUCUACCUGGCUGUGGAAGGGUCUUGGACAACAAGUCCAUAUGAGUGAGCACUAUGAUGAUGCCAGAAAGGAAACCAAUGUGAUUUUGUGCUGCAUCAACAAGAGCAUGACCAGCAGAGACAAAAAAGCCAUCUUUCUAAUCUACUCAGCUCUGGUCAAGCCACAGGUGGAAUACUGUGCUCAGUUCUUAUCCCCACUGUUAUAAAUUUGUAUUGUGAUACUG